rnacentral:tRNA from 1 species
GGGCCGUUAGCUCAGUCGGUAGAGCAGCUGACUUUUAAUCAGUUGGUCACAGGUUCAAAUCCUGUACGGCCCACCA